CUACAAGGAAUUAGGUAUAGUUCCCCUUAUAGAUAAUACAUAAAUAUAUAGGUAAAAAGAGGAUGAAUUUCAAGAAAAACUGUAAAAGUCAACUUGAAGCGGAGCCUAUUUAUAUAGGAACGUUCAACGACUAGAAGGGAAAUUUUUAUACCUUCCACGAGUAUCCUCAGUCUAACCUUAAUAUGUUUUUAUUAAACCUUACGUAAGUUAGAUUAUGACAUAGUCUGAACCAUAUUGUGAAAUAUGG
rnacentral:ncRNA from 1 species